AAAAACGAAAAGGAAUUAUUAUAAAAUAUUAUUAUUAUUUUGUAAAAUCGUAUAUUGUGUACAUAUAUAUAUAUUAAUAAUAACAAUAACAUUAACUAUACAUUUUAAUAUCAUAAUAUUAUAUAAUAAUCGUAUUAUAAUCGUGUAUCGAUUUCAUUUCACCGCAUUAGAAACACGCCGUACAUCACACACACACACACACAUACGUACCGCGCGUAAGGGAUUUAUAAUAUUAUUAUUAUAACACGGUUUAAUGAUAUUGUAAUGUUUUACACGUGCGUUACGCGCGCCGCCGUAUGAUAAUACGAAACUAAUUAAUAAAAUGCAUAAUUAUAUUAAUACGUAAAGGGAUUAUUAUGACACGACGCCCGGACAACGGUCGAAACGGAAAAACGUAUAAGGGGAACGUUCUCGAGCGUGCGUUUACUUUGCCCGUUAUAUCAGCCGCCCUCCCCCCACCUUUGAUCGCGUCAACCGGGUUAGGUUAGGUACCGCGAGCCCGAAGCCGCGAUAGAAAAAAAAAACAUUACCGUGUAAACCUAUAAAAUAACAUCGCCGGCUAUCAGAAACCGUAUCGAACCCGUUGUGGCUAACAGUCGUACCGACUGCGGACCCGACGGAAACGGAAAAGUUACCUGGUAUAAUAUCCGCCUGAAAAAAAAAAAUAACAGCAGGCGCGUCGGCGAGGCGAAAAUUCGCAUAAAAACGCGGCCGAACACCGUGGAAUAAAAAACAAAUACAAUUGUAAUAAACAAUAUAACUAUGGAUUUUCGUUUUUACUGUUAUCGUACGACUGCCGACACGCCGGGCGUUUUUAGCCGUUGAUACGCCCGGAGCUGUUUUUAUUUUCGUCCGUUACGGACUUUCGCGGCGUCGCCGCCGGAACUUCAAAACACAACAAAAUCGGCCGCGAAAUAAAAAAAUAGCCUCAAAAUAAAAUCCGUAACGUGUUCAAUAUAAAAAUAUCCAUCAAAACUUAAUUGAUAAUACAAACGAAAACGAUGAAAUGACGCUUAACACGCGAUGAUAAUAUAAUAUUAUAUUAAUUAUAUUAAUUGAUAAAAAAUAAAAAAAAAAAAAACCCCGGUAAUCGUAUAUAUUACUCUACUAUGAUAUUAUAUUCGAUUUUUGUAUAGUGUGUAACAUUAGGCGUUUUCUCUUUUGUACUGUUUUUUUUUUUUUUUUUUUUU